rnacentral:rRNA from 1 species
CCUACGGGAGGCAGCAGUGGGGAAUAUUGCACAAUGGGGGAAACCCUGAUGCAGCGACGCCGCGUGAGUGAAGAAGUAUUUCGGUACGUAAAGCUCUAUCAGCAGGGAAGAAAAUGACGGUACCUGACUAAGAAGCCCCGGCUAACUACGUGCCAGCAGCCGCGGUAAUACGUAGGGGGCAAGCGUUGUCCGGAUUUACUGGGUGUAAAGGGAGCGUAGACGGCAGCGCAAGUCUGGAGUGAAAUCCCAUGGCUUAACCAUGGAACUGCUUUGGAAACUGUGCAGCUAGAGUGCAGGAGAGGUAAGCGGAAUUCCUAGUGUAGCGGUGAAAUGCGUAGAUAUUAGGAGGAACACCAGUGGCGAAGGCGGCUUACUGGACUGUAACUGACGUUGAGGCUCGAAAGCGUGGGGAGCAAACAGGAUUAGAUACCCGAGUAGUC